rnacentral:rRNA from 1 species
ACAAGACAGAGAUGUGGAGCGAAACUCAAAAAGUAAGUCUCAGUUCGGAUUGAAGGCUGAAAUUCGCCUUCAUGAAGCCGGAAUUGCUAGUAAUGGCAGGUCAGCAUACUGCCGUGAAUACGUUCCCGGGCCUUGUACACACCGCCCGUCACACCAUGAGAGUUGGGAAUACCCGAAGCCUGUGAGCUAACGUUAAGAGGCAGCAGUCGAAGGUAGAAUCAAUGAUUGGGGUGAAGUCGUAACAAGGUACC